UACAGAGGGUACAAGCGUUGUUCGGAAUUAUUGGGCGUAAAGCGCGUGUAGGCGGCGUGGCAAGUCGGGUGUGAAAGCCCUCAGCUCAACUGAGGAAGUGCGCCCGAAACUGCUGUGCUUGAGUGCCGGAGAGGGUGGCGGAAUUCCCCAAGUAGAGGUGAAAGUUCGUAGAUAUGGGGAGGAACACCGGUGGCGAAGGCGGC
rnacentral:rRNA from 1 species